rnacentral:lncRNA from 1 species
AUGCCAUGUGGAAGCCAGAGCCGCACCUCCCGCGUGGCCAUUCAGGCCAGCCGGGUAUCUCACAUGAGAACCGCAGCCAGGCCAGCACCAGCAGCUCAGCUGCCAGCAGCGGCAUCCCCCUUUGCAGCUGGCCCUCCUGCUGCUGGGCCCAGGCAGCCAGGUCUGAUGGCCCGGAUAGCAACCACUGGAGCUGGCGUGGGGUACACGGUGGGUCAUACCAUCACUGGGGGCUUCAAUGAAGGAAGUAAUGCUGAGCCUGCAAGUCCUGACAUCACCUACCAGGAGCCCCAGGGAACCCAGAUGUCACAGCGGCAGCAGCCUUGCUUCUAUGAGAUAAAACCGUUUUUGGAGUGUGCCCGGAACCGGGUGACAUAAAGCUCCGUGAGGGUUUCAGUGAGGUGCUGAAACAGUGCAGACCUGCAAAUGGAUUGGCC